rnacentral:lncRNA from 1 species
AGACGCUCCGAGAUGCCGAAGGGCCAGCAGCGGCCCCGAAGCUCCGGGCUGGCCGCGCUGUCGCUCUGCCGCGCCCCGGUCUCGAAGUGAAGGUGCCUCUUCCUGGCUAGCCCACCUACAUGCUGUCAUCACUGGGCUUCUGCAACUCUCAGUCUUUGUGGCUGCACCCUUCCCUUCUGAAUCCUGAGGACCCAUGAGUGUCAGGCCCAUCAUGAAAUUGGUCGUCUUACUGGGUCUUUCCCCUGCAGCUUUCCCGAGGCUGUACAGCAUUUAUUGGUGCUCAUCUGUUUGAGUAGAGCUGGCAUAGAGGACUGCCACCGGCUGGGAGGGGCCAUGGUACCAGAGGUCUUGGGUGCCUGAAGAUACUCCCCCUAGCCCUGAUGCCUUGGAAGAGAAGCCCUUCAAGACAAGCUGAUGCCAGGCCCUGGCCAGAGUGAGUACUUACUGAGGGCCUACUAUGUGCUGGGCACUAUGCCAGGCACUAAGGACUGAGUUGAGAGCUGGUUAAAAUCUGAAGUGACCAAAGACAACCAGCAAGGAACAUCAGAUUUAAUGUAGGAAGAUGGAAAUUUCCUUCCUAGGAAGGAACAAGCUUCAUGUGGGAGGAAGGGUGACCAGCCAGUUUCACGCUCCAGCUGCCUGCUACCAUGCCUCCCCACGUCAUGGACUCUCCUUCUGUAACCAUAAGCCAAAAUAAACACUUUUCCCCCUCUGUAA